GCGCGGAAUAGCUGAAGUUCUGAGUUAAUUUAGUAUUUGUGGAAGAUUUGUGAGUUUAUUCAGGUAAACAUGGCGUCUAAACGUAAAUGUGACGCCACGGUUCCUGCGGAGGAAAGUGACCAACUGCUCAUCCGCCCGCUAGGAGCAGGACAGGAGGUGGGACGGUCCUGCAUCAUCCUGGAGUUCAAGGGACCAAAGAUUCUGCUGGACUGCGGGAUCCAUCCUGGUCUGGACGGGAUGGACGCUCUGCCGUACAUCGACCUGAUCGACCCGGCUGAAAUUGACCUGCUGCUCAUCAGCCACUUCCACCUGGAUCACUGUGGAGCUCUGCCCUGGUUCCUGCAGAAGACCAGCUUUAAAGGACGCACCUUCAUGACUCACGCCACCAAGGCCAUCUACCGCUGGCUGCUGUCCGACUACGUCAAAGUCAGUAACAUCUCUGCAGACGACAUGUUGUCACGGAGACGGACCUGGAGGAGAGCAUGGAGAAGAUGGAGACCAUCAACUUCCACAGUGCGGACGGUAACAAGUGGUGAACACAGCGGUGAGGUUCAUUCAGAUUUAUUUAAAUACGCUUUUUCCCACCACAAUUUUGGCGUUGUCGGCUCGUCACACGCGCGAGAGGACUCGGACACUCGGAGCUGCAGGUGAAAAACCGUAUGGCCAAAAUACGGGUGAGACGUUGAGGGCCUGACGCCUGAGUGUCUGAGGCUCCCUCACCGCUGUGAUCCACAAAGAACCUGGUGGCUGGCAACACUCUCUUUGUGCGGGCUCUUCAGUCUCCACCGACCCUGGGUCUCCCCGACUGUAACACACAUUUCACCCAGACUGUUGACGAAAAGGGGGGGUACAUGACCUCAGUACCACUACAAGACCAUGGGGGACGACUGAGACCUGGAGCUUAUUUUUCAUCCAAACUGGACUCUGUUGCAGCCAAACUGCCUGAGAGCUGUGGCGGCUGCUGAAAAAGCAGCCAUGGCAUCACGUGACAUUGUGGGUUAUUCAGACUUGACAUUGCUGGUUCCACAUGCUGUCGAUGAUUUUGCUUGAACAAAAAACAUCUCAUCUCUCCACAUCCAGGUGGCUGAGAUACAAGACCGUGUUGCUUGAUAUAUCUAACAUUACUGCACUGUACUGAAUCCUGCUACUCUCCUCCCAACUCCAGGU